CCUACGGGAGGCUGCAGUGGGGGAUAUUGCGCAAUGGGGGGAACCCUGAUGCAGCGACGCCGCGUGGGUGAAGGAGCGUUUCGGCGCGUAAAGCCCUAUCGGCGGGGAAGAAGAUGACGGUACCUGACCAAGACGCCCCGGCUAACUACGUGCCAGCCGCCGCGGUCAUACGUAGGGGGCAAGCGUUAUCCGGAUUUACUGGGUGUAAAGGGGGCGCAGACGGCAAUGCAAGCCAGGAGUGAAAGCCCGGGGCCCAACCCCGGGACUGCUCUUGGAACUGCAUGGCUGGAGUACAGGAGGGGCAGGCGGAAUUCCUAGUGUAGCGGUGAAAUGCGGAGAUAUUAGGAGGAACACCGGUGGCGAAGGCGGCCUGCUGGACUGUGACUGACGUUGAGGCCCGAAGGCGUGGGGAGCAAACAGGAUUAGAUACCCGGGUAGUC
rnacentral:rRNA from 1 species